UUCUCCAAAAGGAAAUGAUGCCAUCAACGUCGUUAAAACGUUUUAAUGUCGGUGUGUCACUGGGGAAGUUCGGCUACCGGAAGUAUGGAUUCCCAGGUAUUCACACACCUGAAGGUCACAUUUGGGACUAAAAGAGCUCUAAGAGCGUGGUGUGCCAUUGGAUGAGCAAAGCAGUUCAUACAGUGCCUCGGUAACAUGACUCUCUAGCGGCUGGUCGUUAUCUGAGCCACCCUGUGCUGUAAAAAUUUGGAAAUGAACAUGGACUAUGGCUAUUUCGCAUUUUCAACCGUGCUCAAAACACCACAAGAACCGUAACUUCAAUAGCUGACACAGACGAAGUUCGUUUUGUAGCGAGGAGAAUCGAAUCAUGUGCGCUGAAAAUCCACCUGUCAAGAAAUAAUGCGAGGAACAGCUCCUACCAGAUGCAAAGUGAAUAGCCAUGGUUCUUCCAGGCGCACUGUCCGUGUUCCGGUAUGAACUUUGGGUGCAAUUUUAUUCUCCAAAUCUCCAGGUCGGAAAUUUCCGCUUCGAAAUUCCUGCCGUAGAACGUACGAAGUGCUUGUGGGGACCUCAUCAGUUGUGCGAAGGCAAACAGCGUUUGAGGAAAGUGGGACGAAGCGAUGUCUUCUCGUGAAGGUCCAGUUUCACCGACUGGAAGCCGAAGCUCAAUGGCUGCACUGUAGUAGACGAGAUUAUAACUCGAACGUUUCCAGCACUGGACCACCGGGGAGGACCUCGAUAUUCCCGAUUGUGAAGUCCACGACCUCGAAAUUCACGUUUUCGAAGAAGGAAAAUCAAGAGGAAUGCUCGAUUGCUUCUUCGGAUGAUAUGAAAACAAUUUAACUACUUAAAUUCACGGGUUUUCGAUGUCUGUCCAAGUCGUUCGCCACCGUGGACUAGAUAGCCCUUUCGGUCUUCCUGAGACUUUGUCUACAGUGCACUGGCGGGCUACGUGGGAUGUCAGAAGGUCACGUGGAACGUCCGUGUCCUCUUCCUGCCCCCUUCUCUGCACUCUGUUGCAUUUCUUCCAAACGGCACCGUUUCUGUCUGUGUAUUCACACGGACAACUACACCAGCGGAAGAUGCGCAAAACGUCAUGGCUUUGCACUGUUACGUGUAGCGCGAGCGUUGAACGUCAUGUCUAUUCGUGCUCUUCUGAUAUACUGCGGCUAAGCCACAAGAUAUUCCUUAGCAGACGACAGGGCCGGUGGUGUCUUGUGCUAUGUAUACUGCAUGGAACUCCCGGUGCUCCUGUGCCAUACGAAGGGCCAGCAAUUCAGUAUAAAACACAGGGAGCAGCUUUUACUCCCCCACCCCGUGAAAUAUUACGUGGAGAUGUCACCCAUGUGGAUGCCCUGUUUCUGGAGCUCUGGCGCUCAACUGUGAUAUUCCGUAGCAGGUGACAGGGCCGUACGAAUGCUCUGCGUAAGAUGCAGUUGGCACUUUCUGCUUUUUCUUCCACUAGAAUAUUUCGUGGAGACGUCGCACGUGUGAACACACUAGAGAUGGGACAAAUCCAGAAUAUCCGAAUCCACGAAUCUUUCGAAUCCUUUCUUAAAAAAGAGCUCCACUUUCUUCUGGGCCUUCACCUGGGGCUCCUUGCUUAUACAUACUCGUGCAGUACCGGUUGUCACGGACGCGCACCUAUCACAGUCCACCUGCGGAACUGCAUGUGCCCGUCGUAGCCGGACCUUGUACUCACUUUCUUUGCUCUUGUUGGCGCUCUAAUUGCCCUUCUUGCACGCCGGAUCUUGAGGCGAAAAUCCGUUUCCUGUGGUCCGUGUAAGGGCACCACCUGCUGGUCAUAUGCGGACUGACCUCUGCGCGCUCUGGGUCAUUUCGUGACAACCUGUCCUUCUAUUUUUCCACUUGGUUUCUGACUGCGCACAUGCAUUGCGUGCCUGCACGAAGGACCCAAGACUCUCUUGAUUUUGUGCUUAAGGAAAGUCUUAUAUACUGCUUUCGCUGUACUUAUUGGGAAAGCGGCCAUUUGACUCCCUGUCCGGGAUAUGGACACUGACAUGCCUCGCCGUGUCGUGCAGCUGCAGCUGAACAGCGCUGCGGAGGAGCACGAGAAGCCUUAGUGGCACUCCUUUUCAGGUUGCACGAGUGAGGGCCCUUAUCAAUAACAUUCUUGCGAGCAUGGGUUACGAAACUGCAGAGACUGGGCUGCUACAACCAGAGGAGACAGACAGCGCAAAAGGUACCAAAGAAGUUAUGCCAUUGGGAUUUACAACUUGUGAGUCUGAAGAUCUUGGUGAAGUUGUCCCGAGGAAGCUGCUUGCAAAGACGCGCAGGAAGGUGUCAGCAGAGCUACCUCGUUCUGCCGUUGGAGUUGUCAAGCUCAAAGCAGUCUACAAAAGGCUGAGGGUCAACUGCACGAAGAAAAGUGUCACACGACUGAGGAAAGCGUAUGUCACCGGGCUUCGAGCUGUGAAAGCUGGCAAAAAAAAUGCGACGGAAGUGGUUACAAGAAUGGAGAUCGUUGCGAACAAAUCUCAAUAAAACGCUGCAUAAAUUGGGAUGGCGUGAGCAACUACGAAGUCCAAGCAUCAUUGUAUUCGUGGUGGGCAUGAGUGCAGUUUAUUAUGGAUGGCUGAAGAUCAUUGACAAUGAAGAGUUUGUGCCAAAAGCGGAGAAGCCCACACCUCCACACAUGGCGUUGUAUAACUUCAUUACUGGGAAGUCUGGUUCUACAGCCACGGGACAUUCACCAAAGAAGUCUGAAUGAGCACUUCUCGUACUGUACUGUUAAAUGUAGGCACUGCGUAAACAAAAUAUAAGUAAUGUGUUGUCAGUA